GUUUCUUUCACACAAAUAAAAUUAAGAUGAUCGACAGUCUGCUUUUAAUUUAUAUAUCAAUUUAACAAUAAUAAUUAUCAAGCUUUAUAAAUGUUAAGGUUUUAGUUUUAAUGCCUAAAAACUUGACAGAAUUGCCUGGAAAUAUGUUGACAUGUGAAGGAAUGUUUCACCGGUCACCUGGAUGCUUAGGAGUCGUGCUUCCUGGCGAGCUGCAUUGUCCUCUUGUCCAUCUAUUGUGUGUGUACAUUUACAGGGCAGAAACAGUGGAAGAUGGGCUCUGUAUAGUGAAACUAUGAAUUGGCCUUGGGUCGUGUUGUGCAGUUUCAACAAUACAUGUGUAGCAUUUCAAAUCAUUAUUGAUUCAAAACAAUAGCACACUUGCCACUGUGUUCAAGAUGUCAAAAUAUACAUGUAAAUACGUACCAUUAUUUACAGAGCACAAAGUACAUUGUAAUUGAGGAUUGCUCAUGUUACAAAAAUAUAUUGUUCAUAUGUAUAAGCUGCAGUGUGAAUUAAAUUAAGGAAAGUACAAGAUUUAAUGUACAUUUUAAUAUACAAUGUAUCUUUUAGACAACGUACAGUUUACAACACAUGGUUAUCAUGUUGUGCAAGAAAGAUCAACGACCUGGCUUGAUAUUUCACUGAGCGACUGGUACUGCAUUACCUUAUAGUGUAUAUAAUCAGACUCUGCUCUCUGUCUUAUAUUGCUGGAACAGAAGAUUGUAACUUUUUUGAUUCGGAGCUGCAGAAUCAGACAUGGUCUGAAUUGUUACAAAUUUGAUGGACAAAGUCUGUUAAAUUUUCCAAAUGACAUGGUCCAAUAAAUGUUCUAAAUUGGACGGACAUGGUCCAAUAAAUGUUCUAAAUUGGACAGACAUGGUCCAAUAAAUGUUCUAAAUUGGACAUAGUAAAAAAAAAUGUUCUAAAUUGGACAGACAUGGUCCAAUAAAUGUUCUAAAUUGGAAAGACAUGGUCCAAUGAAUGUUCUAAAUUGGAAAGACAUGGUCCAAUGAAUGUUCUAAAUUGGACAGACAUGGUCCAAUAAAUGUUCUUAAUUGGACAGACAUAUGGUCUGAUAAAUGUUCCGAAUUAGACAUGAUCUGAUAAGUAUUCAGUCUUUGAUAAAUAAUUAUAUACCGGUAUGUAGCAUCAUAUAAAUUUGGCUUGGUUCUUUCUAAAUGCUAGCCUCUCAACUUGCUCAAGAAAAAUGAAUUGUAAAAUCAUAUUUUACUUCAAUUACAAGUCAUGCCCAGAUUUUAUUUCAAAUACAACAUCUAAUAAAAAUUCUCGCUCUCAUGUUUACAGUACAAUUUCAUUGACAUUUCAAUUAACACAAAAAAAAAAUGUACAACAAGAAUUGAUAAGGAAAUCGAUAUAUAAACUCCACUUUUGUCACAUCUGGCAAUGUUUGAAAAAAACUAUCAUGUAAUGUAAGUUAUGUGUCAUGAUUCCCAAGAAGAAACAGUACUACCUUGCUAGGAGUGUUCUCCACCUUCCUGUUAAGAAUAUUGAUCUUAAAACAAGACUUGUAAAUAAAGGAGAAAAGCAGUAAGAACAUGGCUAGAAUAUGGUAAAAAUGAAAACAGAUUUAUUGAAAACAUGGGUAAACAUUCCAUAACGAAAAUAUAUGUACUGAUAUAUUGAUGUAAAACUUGGAGGCAGAGACGAGGGAUAUGUUUAUUAAAUUGAAACACUGCAGAAGGGAAUAUCUUCUGACCGAUUCAAAUUCAAUCACACCACCUCAGUCAUUUUUGAGAAAUAACUUUAUUUAAGCAUGUAAGGGAUAAGGGUGAUUCAACUGAUUCAACUUUAGUGACCACACGUCAAGUAGUCAAACAUAUAACUAAUGCAUUUUACGGACAAUUUACAUUGUACGUGUACUUCAGUAAUAUAACGCAGAGUAACAAAUACUAGUAACAACAUACUCUCAGCAAUGUGAGCAAUUAAGUGCUUAACACUUUCAUAAUUAUCUGCUACAAACCUAAACUCUAAGAAAUUUUAAAUUUCAUUUGUUUGCGCAGCAAAUAUUGAACCUGAUCAACCAGACUACAUUUGACUGACGUACACAUUUGUCGCUUAAUUGCUAGCAUUGCCAAAAUACCAAACAAUGAUUCGAACAUACUGUAUACAUGUACUAGUAAACAUAUGGUGAAUCAUCAUUUCUUUUUCCCCCCAGUAUAUAUUUCAUUGAAAAAACAAUUUUUAGAAGAAAAUUAAUGUGAAGUCAAUUUAGUCCCAAUUUUCCUAAUUUUUUCACUUAUGCAAAAUUGUUAAAUUUUCUUUUCCUAUGAUGCUAUUAGCAAAUUAUGAUAUCAUGAUUAUUGAGAAUAGUUUAUAAAAUCAUCAAGGCAAAAUUUAAACCUCUAAAUACUAUAAUUUAGAUUUAGCUUUUAACAUGUGAUAUAUCACCGCAACACCUACAGAUAAUAUUAUUUCAAAAUCAUGUGAAGAAACUACAAACAACCCUGUAUUAUUUUAUAUCAUAUCCAUAAAUAUAUCUACAAGUAAUGCUGCAGUCAGUUUUUUUUUCAAAAAAGGUAAUUUUCAAUGAAAUAUAUAGUGAAAAAAUAAAUUGAUGACUCACUUAUGGCCAGGUAACGUACUAAAGGAUUGGAAACAAGUUCUGGAAACUUACCAGUUCCUCUACUGAAUCAAUCAAUCAAUGAUACAUGUAUAACACAUGGUCUGCAGUCAUACAUGAAUUCAAGCAUGACUGACAAUUAGGAGAGAAUUCAAUAUAAUGUCACUCAUCGAGUGCUAUAAAAUUAACGUGUACAAUAAAUAAAUAAAGAGGAAUAUAAUAAAUUGUUGGCAGGGAUCUUGAGCAUCAUACAGCUAUUGACUGGGUUCAUGGACAACAGCAGUUUUGUUUAACCUGAUCAUGGAUCUGUUUGAGAGUCAACUAAAACCGCUGUUGUCCAAGAACCAAGUCUAGAACUAUUCUGUUCUACAUCUUCAUUUUUUCUGGACUGUCAAAUAGAACCACUGAAAUUAAGGCAAUCGGUCGACACACUAAUCAAGGACAACGGUCAAGAUACUGUUGGCUGACAGUCAAAAUGGCAUCUUUAAGUAUUAUUGAUUUCAAGUAGAGAAAAACGUAAAGAUUUUGUUGAAAUGUUGCCUUCCGCUCGAGGUCAUUAGUUUGAUCCUACAGGAAAAUGCUGAUCACUGUAAACAAAUACCGUAAUAAUUAUUGACCAGCGAACUAAACCUUAACAAAGAAAUUAUUCAUAUCAUCGAUAGGUACCUGUAUUCAAAUUUCUGUGGCAAUUAUUAUGCUAUCUACCACCGAGUAAUUUACCAUUAAGGCUAUAUAUUUCAAAUCAGUUUUAAUUUAAUAGCAUAUAGGACUUCAUUGGAUCAGGCGACUGAGGUUUAAUUACCCAUAUUUCCGAAUAACAGGAAACAAAAGCAAACAAAAGUGCAUAUAUGUAUACACAGUAUUCAUGAAAACGUUCAUUAUACACAUCCAUAAAACAUAUACCAGAAACUUAAAAAUCACAAAACGGUCCCAGAUAAUCACAGGAUGCAAACUUUACUCAAUAUGCUCAUGGGGAACCUGUUCCCUAUGUCUCUGACUGUCCCAAGACGCUAAAACAGCUGCAAUGAACAAAAAUGUCAAUCCAAUCAACAUAAACGUGGAAGUGGCAGUAAAAAAAUGUCUGUACUCAAACCGCAGGUACCACACGAAGCACAGGAUGAGACCAAAGAUGGGCAGGAUGAUGACUCCAAGGUCACAGCUUCCCUCCAUUUCUUGUCUCUGCUGAGGGGCCUGCUGAUUGAUUGGAGUGAUUAGGCAGUGGACAACGCUGUUGUUUCCGAUGUUGUAAUUUUGGAGGGUGUUGGAGUCAUUGCGUAAAUCUUGUCCAUUGAAGAUGAACCUUACAAGCUUAUUCUCUGAAAGUUCUGUGGCAAAGUUGUC